GUGGAGCCUUUGUAAACCAGUCCUGCAAUCUCUGCAAUCAUCGGUGGUGACGACAGGUGGCAGAAAAGAGCAGUAUUUCCUCCAGUGUGCCUUGAAGCGGGAAUUUUCCCGCUCAAAUCCAUCUCAAACUCAAAUUCUCUCUCUUCACUUUUACCUCAAAAAAAAAAAAAGCAAAGAAAACUAAGCUUCAGGGGUCUUCAUCGUAUCUUUUAUGAGGGAGAUUUGCUACUUGCAACUGAAGAAGAGGCUAUUUUAGCACGAGAUAUCUCCACCAUUUCAAAUUCAUUCCCUUUUCUCCUCUUUACUCUCAAGUCUCACCGGAUUUCAACCCCCCAAAAUCGUACCAUCCACUUCAAAACAAACCCUAAACCCCUUGAUACUCCAAUUCUUGCUCCGCCAUUUCACUCGGCACCUACAAACUCAACAUCUUCCUCCGCCCUUUAUCUUCCUGUGACCUUGAUUGGUGACUCUAUUCAUGCUAUGUAGCCAAACAUGGGUCAAGGAGAAGCUGUACCUACAUCUCAUUGUUGCAUAAAAAUCUAAUAUAGGAUCUGUACUCUGAGGCUCCUAGAAAGAAAUCUGACUUUGGAGAUCAUUGGAAGCUGGUGCGAAGCCUCAUGUGUACAAUGAAGAGCAUGAGAAGCUGUUAUCUGCUGUGGCUGGGGUGGUAGACAGUCGCGGUGGUGGCGGCGCUGAACGGGUCGUUUUGGUUCAUAGUGGUGCCACAGAUUGUGUACAUCCUGAGCAGCACAAACGGGGUUGUGUGGAGUGGGUUCUCAAUAAAGGCCUUUGAGAAUCUCUGGGGAUUCGUUCGUCUCUCCCUUAUUAUGCUCUGGCUUGACAAUGGGAUUAUCUGCAAAGAUAUCUAUGAAGAUGUGAAAAAGUGACAAUGUUUUGGAUGACUACAGUGAUAUGGAGCUUGACGAGAUAUGGAGCAUGCAAAAGAUGAUUUUGAUGUCAAUGAUUAUGGUGAGGAGGAUGAGAAAGAACAAGGAGAAGAGGAAGAAGAUGGAGAGGAAAGAACAAUUGAGGAAGACCAAAGUGGAUGGAAUAAUGAUGAGAUGGAACAACUUGAGAUACAAAUGUUCCAAAUCAGCUCACUAUUUAAUGUGAAAUAGUUCAUGUCAACUUACAGAGAGAGAAAGAGAUGUACUUGACAAGUUUGGCCACACUUAUCAGAAUAGAGAACAGAAUAAUGAAUAUAUAGUUUAAUGACAAGACUAUUUUAUGUUGUAUUAUCUGGCAAGGGUUUACACUAUUGACACAAUCUUAAAGAGUGAGUCAACCUUAUGGAAGUUGAAAAGGAGGCUUCAGAAGAAUUCAAGAGGCACCGGUGGCAAUGAAAACCAUAACAACAAAAGCAAGCAUAAUGCAUCCAAAAAAAGAAAAAGGGUGUGUCACUGCUGAGCCUGAUAGCCGUAAGAGAUCCCUUCUCAUUGGAGUUUGCAUUGCAAACUUUACUGUUUUAUCCGCCACGUUUAGUGGAAUUAUUCGAGCCAUGAAAGUGAAGGUUUGUUGUUUGUAUGUGAUCUUUUACAACAAGGCUUUUUGUUUCCUUUUUCAAUUCAAUAAAGUUGUUUUUUGUUUUAAAUAUUCUGACUAUUAUAGUCCUAUUUAAUUAUUUAAAUUUCAUACAAGUUACUAAUUACUCAAUAUACUUCUUGAUACAAAUAUAAAAGAGAAAGUAUUGUAUAUUUUCUAUUUUAAAGUAAAAGUUUUUAAUAACAAACAUAAGAUAUAACUCCUGAAUUGGUCUUUUAUUACUUUUAUUAUUACUGAUACUUUUUUUUUUGAAUGUGUUAGUUUUUUCUAUCUAUAUUUGCAAUUUAUCUACGUGUCUCCUUGAGUAAAACAAAAGAAAAAUACAAUUAUAAAGUGAAUGUAAACCAUAUUUAAAUUGUUAAUUAGUGUGAAAAAUAAAAGAGCACUAUUAAUGUUUAGAAAAAUAAUAUAAUGUAAUUUAAUAUAAAUUACGUAUUAUUUUAAUUUCUAAUAUUUGGGUUAAAUAGUAGAAAAUUUAAAACAUCAUUGAAUCACUUAUAAAUAACAAUGUAACAUAAUAUUUUAUAGCAUAUUUUUAAUAGUUAUCUUUUUUGCUUGCUUAAAAAUUUUCAUAUACUUUUUCGACUAAAAUCAAUGCUUUUUUAUUUUUGUACCAAAUAAUAUCCCAAAUAUAUUUUAUAUUCUUGUUAUUAUAGUCUUCAUUUGUCUUGCCCGUGCAUUGUGCGGAUAUCUUGCUAGUAUCAAUUAAUUUGUGUGUUUUGUUGCUGAGCUCCACCCUCGUUUGUUCCGCAUUUGCUGUGCUCUUCCUUCCUCUCCUGCAUGCCACCUCUUGCCGCUCUUUUACCCCACCUCUGUACUCUAGAAGGUACUUUUUACUGUGAUUAUUGUUUUAAUUCGUUUACUAUUGCUAAGUUGUUAUUACUUUGAUUAUUCUUGUUCAAUUAUUUUUGUUAUUACUGUGGUUUAGGAUUCUUGAUCACGUUCUUGUUGAUUCUAUUAUGAUGUUGUUUUGUUGUCAUUUUUUGGGUAAAUUAUAUUCUUUGUCGUUAAUGUUUUUCAAAUAUUUUGAAAUUAAUCUUAACGUUUAAUUUGUUUUAACUAGAAUUAGUAUCAAUGAAGAACUAUAAUUGUUAGGUUGUUAUUACUGUGAUUUUCCUCCUUCAAUUAUUGUUAUUACUGUGUUUUAAUAUUCUUGAUCAUGUUCUUGUUGAUUCUGUUAUGUUGUUGUUCUGUUGUCCUUUUUUUUUGGGUAAAUUAUAUUUUUUUGACAUUAAUAUUUUUGAAAUUUUUUAAAAUUGAUCGUUUAAUUUGUUUCAACUGAAAUUAGUAUAAAUAGAGAACUAUAAUUGGUAUAUUGAUAAGGUUGAACUCAAAAGAGUAGAAAAUGACGGUUGUUAAAUGAUUAAAAUUUUGGAAGAGUUGAGAGACAGAAACGUAAUUUUCAGACUUCUUUAAUACUCUCAUCGAAACUUUUUCUAUAAAGACUUUUUUGUUUUUCCAAAAAUAAUUGGGAGAUAUGGAUUUUUAUUACAAGAAUUAUUACAUAGAUUUAGCAGAUGUUUAGACUCAGAAUUGGAACAAAUUUCAAGGUUUAUCUCAAAUAAUUUUUAUGAGCUCAGUCAAAUUUAUACAAAGAAAAGAACAUGUGUCAUAGAAAAAUAGGCUAAUAUAAUUUUGUAAUAAAUGAGAAUAUAGUACUCGUUAUCAAAGUCGAGAAAAAUCUUUGGUCUGAUUUCAUGGAGAAGAUGCCAUUAUUACGAAUGACAUGUGGCAUUUACAUAACAUUUUAUUUUUUUUUACUGAAUCACGGUCUAUUUCCGAAAGAAUUCGGUAUGUCUUUAAAUUUUUUACUAUAGUGAGUUAAUCUAUUCUUUUAAUUAGUGUAUGAUUUUUAUUUGACUUUUGUAUAUAUUUUAUAAUUUAUUUCUAUUAUCUUAGGUGUGGAUAAUAGAAGCGGGCGUUAUGUCAUUCGUUUUUUCUUAGAUUUUCAAUACAUUAUUUAUUUUGCCCAACAGAUAUUUAAAUGAAUAUUUAAGAAAAUUUUGGCAUGGCAUCGAUUUGAGAGACAUAAUUGAAAAACAACUUCAAUACUAGAUAUAUAUGAUAAAUUGGUAAGAUGGAAUGAAUAGAGUGAACUAUCCAAUAAUGAUACAAAAUUUGAAUAGUGUAAAUGCAAAUUAUGGUUAUUGUGCCAGAGAGUUUUUUUCGAUUUGCAAGAAAUGGUGCAGCUUACCUUAAUAUUUUAGUCAAUUAUUUUUUUAUUUAUACUUUUGAAUUUAAUUUAAUUAUAGUAAUUUGAUAUUUUUACAAGAAGAAAUAUUAUUUAAAUAUUAUAUUUUUAAAAUUAUAUAUUAAAUAUUUUAUUUUUUAUAUAUAUUUUUUAACCGCUUAAUGUUGACUGAAAUUUUAGCGAAAAUAAUUACGUUAAUUUUCCAUAUUCAGUGCAUCGCAAUACAUCGUGUGUUUAUCGCAGGAAAAAUUAUAUUUUAGAUAUACCCCAAUAGCUGAAUCCAAGAUUGUACGUUUUGGAUUAGCAUAUCAAAAUAUUAAUUUACUGCCACAAACGAUGUAGUGCGACGUUCAUAUAGAAAAGUAGGGUAGGAAUUCUCAAUUAUUCUCACUAAAGUUUCAGCUUGUUGAUACACCUUAACAUUAGGCUAUUAAUAAAGAAUUAUAUAAAAAAAAUAAAAUAAUAUUUAUUAUAUAAUUUUAAAAAAUAUAAUAAUAUUUAGAUAAUAUUUAUUCUUGUAAAAAUAUCAAAAUACUAUAAUUAAAUUAAAUUCAAAAGUAUAAAUAUAAAAAAAAUUGAUCACAAUGUUAGGGUGAGGUGCACCGUUUUUUACAAAUCGAAAAAACUCACCAAAAUCAUAACUAUAAUUUGCAUUUACACCGUUUAAAAUUUGCAUCAUUAUCGGAUAAUUGUCAGUUCACUCUAUCAUGCCAAUUUAUUAUAUAUCUGAUAGUAUCGAAGUUGCUUUUCAAUUGCGUGUUUCAAAUGGCACAGCAAAAUUUUCUUAAAUAGUCAUUUAAAAAUCAGUUGGCCAAAAGAAAAUAAUAACAUGAGUGUUGAAAGUCUAAGAAAAACGGAUGACAAAAUAACAACUUCCAUGAUCAACAUCUGAAAUAUUGGUAAUAAAUUAUAAAAUAUAUACGAAAUUCAAAUAAUAAUCAUAUACUAAUUAAAAGAAUGGAUUAACUCAACAUAGUAAAAAAUCUAAGAACAUAUCGAGUUCUUUUAGAGAUGGACCGAGAUUCACCGCAUCUCGUCCGUAACAAUGGCAUGUUUGCCCAUGAAAUCAGUAAAAAUAUUCUCAAGGUUUGUAUAAGUUUUAUUUUAUAAUAAACAUUUAAAAUUGGAUUCAUAGAGUUUGAUGAGGUUGACUUAAAUUUCAAACUAUAAAGUUGGCAAGGCUGUACUAGGUAAGCAUUCUCUAACUCAUUGAUUCACAAGAACGUUUUCAUGUUCUUUUGAAGAUUUUUUUUUCAAGUUUUUGAAUAUUAAGGAUUUGGAUCCUUUAAAUUUUGAAUUUUUACUUUAGAGGGUAAAGUAUGAUCUUCUACUUUUGAAUGGUUUCUUUCUCAUAUUUACUCUUGGCUCCCAUCUAUAAAAUAAAUGGUGAGAGAUCAUACUUUAUUCUCUAAGGUGAAAUUCAAACUUUAGAGGAUCUAAAUUCGAAUAUUAAUUAUCUGGAUUAAACUGUCCUUUUCCAUUCCUUCUUUGAGUUUAUGUUCAUUUGAAGCAUUAAAAGAUUCAGUAGCAGUGUAGUGUGGCCAAUUGUAGAGCUAAGAUGUGAUGUUUUUAUUAAUAUUCUUAAUUAAGGCCGCUAUCAUAAGAAUAGUUAUUAUUGGAAGCUUUUAAGAUUUUUCAAAAAGGAUGCACAUAAAUGGAAGCUUUUUAGAUCCUUUAUGCAUACAAUUUCAUUAAUAACAUGAUCGGGGUCAUGAAUUAUUUGUUAAAGUAAUUGCAAAGAUUUUUUUUAUUUUGCUAUAAAAUACAAAUUAUUUGUUAAAGUAAUAGAAAUUUAAGCAAUUAUAAUAAUUUAUUAGGUUUAUAAUUAAAAAUAUAUAUUUUAAAAUAUAGAAUUUUAUCUUCAGUUGGCCAAAUCUACAAAGAAGUAGGAACAGUUAGCAUUUUAUUUAUGAAUUCUCUCAUUUAUUUUCUAUUGUAAUUCAUUAGACAUAUUAGUUGGAUGAGUUUAGUUGCAAGUCAUACAAUCUUCACUUCAAUGGCUAUUUUUUGUCAAUUUCAAAGACUUUAGGAAAUGUUACAAUAGAUCCAGAGUCAAAGUUGAUAGGAGGGAUUAAUUUGACAGUUCACUUAGAUCCUUGAUUGAUCUGUUUUUUUCAUGUUAGACCAAGAAAAAAAUUUUUGUUUAAGUAACAUGAUUGUUUACAAGUCGCAAAAAUGAACUAUUGGUUAUUUUCAGGACUAAAUUUAUUGAUAGAAAGUUAUUGUUUAACUAAAUCUUUUUAAAGUUAGGAUUUUAAGUGAUCGUCACAAAAUUUAGGCACCAAUUCAUAAGCACCAUAGAAUUGGCCAAGACAAAUAUUCUUGUAAAAGAGCAUUGUAAUUCCUCUAUGGCUCUAUAUCUUAGUAAAGGAGAUUUUUCAAAGACUAUAAUUUUGGAGAAAGUUUAAGGAGAAAUGUCCUUUUUCAGCAUAUGACACCAAAAGAAAAUAUAUGAAGAAUACUACCAAAAACGCGUCCUUUAUACAAAAAAAAUGUAAAUGGAUAGAUAUAUCUUUUUAUUAGUAGCUAUGAUUUUUUUUUUAUUUUUAAUUUAAAUUUAUUUUCUAGAUGAUGUAUUUGUUUGAGAUCAUGGAAACACUUGAUUUAUUCUGGCCAAAUCCUAUUUCAAAAACAACAAGGCUUUUUGUUUCCUUUUUCAAUUCAAUAAAGUUGUUUUUUGUUUUAAAUAUUCUGUCUAUUAUAGUCCUAUUUAAUUAUUUAAAUUUCAUACAAGUUACUAAUUACUCAAUAUACUUCUUGAUACAAAUAUAAAAGAGAAAGUAUUGUAUAUUUUUUAUUUUAAAGUAAAAGUUUUUAAUAACAAACAUAAGAUAUAACUGCUAAAUUGGUCAUUUUUAUUACUUUUAUUAUUACUGAUACUUUUUUUUUGAAUGUGUUAGUUUUUUCUAUCUAUAUUUGCAAUUUAUC